UGCGGAAGGGUUUCCGUAGGUGAACCUGCGGAAGGAUCAUUACCGAGUGUAGGGUUCCUAGCGAGCCCAACCUCCCACCCGUGUUUACUGUACCUUAGUUGCUUCGGCGGGCCCGCCAUUCAUGGCCGCCGGGGGCUCUCAGCCCCGGGCCCGCGCCCGCCGGAGACACCACGAACUCUGUCUGAUCUAGUGAAGUCUGAGUUGAUUGUAUCGCAAUCAGUUAAAACUUUCAACAAUGGAUCUCUUGGUUCCGGCAUCGAUGAAGAACGCAGCGAAAUGCGAUAACUAGUGUGAAUUGCAGAAUUCCGUGAAUCAUCGAGUCUUUGAACGCACAUUGCGCCCCCUGGUAUUCCGGGGGGCAUGCCUGUCCGAGCGUCAUUGCUGCCCAUCAAGCACGGCUUGUGUGUUGGGUCGUCGUCCCCUCUCCGGGGGGGACGGGCCCCAAAGGCAGCGGCGGCACCGCGUCCGAUCCUCGAGCGUAUGGGGCUUUGUCACCCGCUCUGUAGGCCCGGCCGGCGCUUGCCGAACGCAAAUCAAUCUUUUCCAGGU
rnacentral:rRNA from 1 species